GGGCACUGCACCCAGACCACUCCAUGGGGAUAAAGUGGUCUGGGUGCAUAUAUUGCACUUUUAAUUUAGAGAACCCUGGAAUUCCAUCAAAUAUGCCCUUCAAGUACGCUCCAAAGGAUAAUUUUGCCAUCUUAGUGUGGCAUGGCAUUAAUGGACAUGCACAGGUAGGUAGCAGGUAGGUAUUCUGUUCUUUGUUUGCACCGG